rnacentral:rRNA from 1 species
GAUGAACGCUGGCGGCGUGCCUAAUACAUGCAAGUCGAGCGAACGGACGAGAAGCUUGCUUUUCUGAUGUUAGCGGCGGACGGGUGAGUAACGCGUGGAUACCCUCCCUAUCAGACUGGGAUAACUUCGGAAAACCGGAGCUAAUCCCGGAUAAUCUUUUGAACCGCAUGGUUCAAAGGUAAAAUACGGUCUUGCUGUAUCUUCUCGCUGGUUCCGCGCUGCAUUGGCUAGUUGGUAAGGUAACGGCUUACCAAGGCAAGGAUGCAUAACCGACCUGAGAGGGGGAUCGGCCACCCUGGAACUGAGACACGGACCAGACUCCUAAGGGAGGCAGCAGUAGGGAAUCGUACGCAAUGGGCGAAAGCCUGACGGAGCAACGCCGCGUGAGUGAUGAAGGUCUUCGGAUCGUAAAACUCUGUUAUUAGGGAAGAACAGAUGUGUAAGUAACUGUGCACAUCUUGACGGUACCUAAUCAGAAAGCCACGGCUAACUACGUG